UACGAUCAUACCAGCACUAGUGCACCGGAUCCCAUCAGAACUCCGAAGUUAAGCGUGCUUGGGCGAGGGUAGUACUAGGAUGGGUGACCCCCUGGGAAGUCCUCGUGUUGUACC
rnacentral:rRNA from 1 species